GAGACCAGUGAGGAGAGUGAGUCAUGAACCGAGGAACACGAUACUUAAUCCAAUGCUGUUGACCUGGGGUCUAAA
rnacentral:snoRNA from 1 species